GGAUAUGCAAAUUAAAAAAAAUCACUGAAAUGGUUGAAAUAGAAAGAACAGAAUACCAACAGAUGGUGAAGAUAUGGAGCAAUGGAGAUUCUCAGACACUGCUGAUGUGAUUGUUAAUUUGUAUAACCGCUUUGGUAAGCUAUUUGAGAGUAUCUACAAAUAUCUAUAUCUAUAUCUAUAUCUAUAUCUAUAUCUAUAUCUAUAUCUAUACCUAUAUCCCCAAAAAGAUGAAUACAAGAUGUUCUUAGCAGCACAUUUGCUGUGGCCCCUAAAAACCAUCUUUCUUUUUAAGAUGCCCUACAGGUGAUUUUGAGGACCAGUCAGGAUUGAGAACCAUGACAAUGUCAGAUGCACUUCCAAUAGAACUUAAAUUUAAAAUUUAUUUUUGUGUAGUGAUUUAAUUUCUUUUUGUGUACUGAUUUCCUAAUAUGAUAGGGAAAUCAUAAGCCAUUCCCUUUCUCCUUUUAAAGAAAUAAGGUUAAAUGAUGAAAAUGGCUAAAACUUAUUUAUAAAAUACUUAUUUUUUUAAUUUGUUGAAAUACUAAAUAUUUUAAAGAAUUUUUUUCUUACGUGGUAGAAUCUUAAGAGGUCUUUGGCACUGAUGGUAGGAUCUAAUUUGGAAAGAGAUCAAAGUCAAGAAAAAGUAAUGAUAAUCCCUUAGUAAUAAGUUUGUACUGUAAUAUAAUAUAACUUGGUCCUCAGCUGAAUCCUGAAAUUAAAAAAAAAAAAAAAAGGAGACUGGAAACUAUUUCUCUUCCCAGGGAAGCCACCUAUUCCUCAAGCGACAUCACCAGGGCAACCAUCUUUUAAGUCAGUCUCUCACUACAGAGGCCCCAAAUGGGAGCCAGGUUCUCUUCUGGAUGUUAAUUGUCCCAACCCUCCUGAUAGCCCUGGAGGUGUUUUUCCUCCCUGCUAUUUGACAGGUGAAGGAGUUGUGGUAUUAACAUUUAAUGGAGAAGGGGGUUGUGAUUAGGGGGGAAGAGUCUCAUAAUGCUGUUUAGGGAGGUGAUAAAAUUUAAGAAACACUGCUGUAGCUACAUAUUAGAGAGAGGAGGGUACUAUAAUUAGGUUUUAGCCUGUCACUGAAAAUCCAUUUUCCAGUGGGACAUGACAGGGCUGAAUUUUGCAUAAUUUUACCUGGAAGAAAGCCUUACUGUACCUUGGGAAGAAAUACAGCGUUUCCCAUUCAAAUAAUCUGGGCCUGCUUAUAGUGAGCACCAUCAUUAUGUCAUUCUUUUGUCCACAAGUCUGUCCUGAAGAUCCUGUUGGGCAUUCCUGAGCUAGCUAGCUGCAGAGUUAUUAGUGGGUCUAGGAGGUUAGGAAACUGGAGGACUGGUAGAGGGUGAAAAAUAUGAUUGCAAGUGCUUAUGAGCAAGGCAGUUUAGCACUGAUUUACCCUGCUAGGGUCUGGUUAUGCAAAGUGUGGUCCUCAAACGGCAGCAUUAGCACCACCUGGGAGCUUGUUAGAACUGCGGCAUCUCUGGCCUCAUCUCUGGCCCCACUUCAGCCCUACGGAGUCAGGAAGUGAAGUUCACAAGACUCCCAGGUGAUUUGUAUGCACAUUAGAUUUUUGAGAAGCACAACUUUAGGCUAGUGGUUCUCAGCACUGGCAACAAUUAGAAUCACCUGGAGAGACUGACAACUUUAAGACCCUCAGGCCCGACUCAGGACUAUAUAGAUUAGGAGCCUGCUCAGGUAGGCUCUUGUGGGUGGGUGGGUGUUUUAUGCUGAGUGACCUGAUUUAUGGUCUGAAUAGAUCACUCUGCUGCUCUGAGGGGUAGUCUGUGAAUGUGUGUGUGGAAGUGGGACCGGACCAGGAAUGGAAGCAGGGAGACCUUCCAUAUAUGCUCUGUCAAGCCGGGAAAAAACCGGAUCAGUGUUUUUUUUUUGUUUGUUUGUUUGUUUUUUUUACUUAUACCUCUAGGCUUCCCUUCAAGGUAGGAAAAAGAUCCCAAUUUCACUUACCAUAUUAUGGCCCACAUCCUCACCUGGACUCUGUGCUGCACAGGAGCAUUGCAAGUAAUCUACAUUUUAAGAAGGUCACUUGGCGGCAGCAUAUCAAGAGUGGAUUCCCCAGGAACAAGGGAGGAAGUAAAGAAGCUGCUAAAGUAGCUUUCCAGGAGAGACAUGAUGGUGGCUUCAUCUAGGGCGGGUAACAGAAGAGACCAGAAGAGUUGUAUUUUGACUGAUUUUUGGACCACAGUUGCUGAUGGAAUUGGAUUUGGUAAGUCAAAAGAGGAUUCCUUGGCAUUUUUAAUUUAAACCAGGCUUUAAAAAACCUGUUAAUAUGGUUAAUUAUAUCCUUUAAAAUUUUUUUUUAAUGUUUAUUUAUUUUUGAGAGAGAGAAAGAGACAGAGCACCAAGAGACACAGAAUCUGAAGCAGGCUCCAGGCUCUGAGCUGUCAGAACCCAACACAGGGCUCAAACUCACAAACCACAAGAUCAUGACCUGAGCCAAAGUUGGAUGCUUAACCAACUGAGCCACCCACACACCCCUAUCCUUUCUAUUUUUAAUCCAGAUUUCCCUCUCUCACACACACACAAUUAUAUAAUGCUUUGGAUAAUUAAACUUUCAGAGCCCUAGGAGUAUCUGAACACUGUUCUCACAUCACUCUUCGAUCUGUGUUGUGACUCUCAGAUUUACUAUAUGUGCCAAAUCCAAGCUUAGUGUUCAGUGUUGGCCCACUUUGUGCUUGUUGAAACAGGCAUUGCAGUUCUCUUGGAAAAAGCAGGGUUUCUCAGCCUUAGCACUCUUGAUACUUUGGGCUCCAUAAUUACUUCUCUGUUGUGGGGACUAUCCUAUACAUUGCAGGAUGUUUCGUAGCAUCCCGGGCCUCUACUCAUUCAAUUCCUGUAGCACCUUCCCAAUUGUGACCACCCAAAAUGUCUCCAGAUGUUAAGAGCUAUGAUCCAGAGGGUUAGAUUGUCCCAGGUCAAAAACAGCUCAACCAGAGCUGGGAGGAGGACUUGCAGUGUAAGUUUUUGGUUAGUUAGUAGGAUUGUUCCUCAAGGGGACUCUGUCUUCCUUUCAUUCAAGGUGCUUUGGGUCUUUGAUUUACAUCUGGCAGUUGGCUGAGGGGCCACAAUUCUUUAUUGCUAAGUAAGGUAUGACUUCUUUUCACCACACUGCUUCUACAAAUAAACAAGACACUAGUAGGGGGAUAUUUAUUUCUGUUCUAGGAACAUCAUGAUCAACUAUUGGAUGUCCUAUGGGUCAGACUUUGGUGAUGACUUUCGGUUUUGCUGUCUGUUAUGGUAACAUCUUCCUCAUCUUUUGUUAUUAAAAAAACAAACAAACCCCUGCCACCCCAGGAUCUCAUCAUUCCCAUUGAAAUCAGGGACCCCAGUUUGAUGGCAGCAUUACUUCCUUUCAUUUCUAACAUUUAGACAACAGCCACCACAGAGUUCUUGAUUGAUGCUAGGCUUCUUUCCUUAACGUGUUUCUUAAAGCCGUAGUGAAAGGUGUAUCUUCUGGGCUAUUCUGAGGAACAUAGAGGGUAUUACAUAAUAAAUCUCCUUAAGCAUAUCAUUUUCCCUAAUCCUUAGGAUCCUUUCAUCAGCAUACCAAGACGGUUAUGAAACUUCAAAUCCAUUUAGGACAGAGUGUCUCUAACUCCAGGUUUUAGUAACCAACCAACCAAACUUUCCAAGACAUUCACAGCCCCUAGAGCCAACACAUUUAUUCCAGAAACUCAGCCUAGUGCACCAAAAACAACUGAUUUCAGGAGGUUCAACAUUAUAUUUCUUCUCUGAUCCAGUACAACUUAGGAUCCAUUCUCAUGCACAAUACUGAGGUUCUGUCAAUAUUAAUUGACAAAAUCUUGCGUGUGUGUGUGUGUGUGUGCAUUGAACUUCUUAUGAGUUACACUUUAUAGCUUCCCUCCUGGGACCUUCUGGGACUUGAACAGGUAUAGAGGAAAUGAGAGGCAUGAGGGUAGUUCUUGAGGAAGAACAGUGGUUUCCUGCAAGGUAAUUCCUUUAGGAGAAGAUGUUAUAGCUUCUUCCUACUAGGGAAGACCAAUCUCUUCAAAGGUGGAAGGGCUGAUUCUGUAGGCAAAGGAGGAUCAGUAGAAUUUAGGGGUUCAAGGUCCUCAGCUUUAUUGGAUUCUGCUCAUAUGUUCCUAUCCUCAAUUUUAAGUCCUAUUCCUACUCAGUCUAUGUUCUGACCUUAACAUGAGAAACCCUGCAAAGUUCAGAAUUCAAUUUGUGUUGUAAUUCAGCUCCCCACAGAAUUGAAUUUCAUGUUUGCUUUUCAGAAAUCUUGACUCUAGAACAGGAUAUCUCUAUCUUUGAGGACAAUGAUAUACCCUUAAGCUCAUCAAUUUCUUUCCUCGUGUUCUUCAGUGCACUUAGUAGCAGCCACUCAAUCCCAAACUACUUUUUUAUUCUUGCUGAAAUCUUUGGUAACAAUUAGUUCACUCAAAUCCUUCCCUUUUAUUGACACUUGAUUACAGGUGUCUACAGGUGAUACUUCAAGUACUCUUUUGCAUGUCAUAAACUACCAGUGUCUCCUCUACUAUUGCCUCUCUAAUUAUAUCAGAAAAUCAAUUCCAGAUAGCCCCAAACUAAUUUAGAGUGCCAUCCUUAAGGUUCUGUUCCCCUGGAACCAUAACUGAUACAGCAUCAAUUCUGUAUCAGUCAGAGUUCAAUAAGAGUGAUAUGAAAUGCAUGAUCUUGCUGGAUUUAGAUCUUCCACAAUUGGGGGAGGUGAUGAAGAAGUCUAUAGAAAGCUGCAUCUGGUAUGCCUAGUGGUAGGCCUGAGGUCCAUGCAGUCAGUAGGUCCAGGAAUUGGGAAGAAAAGCUGAGUGUGAAUCAGGGGAGAGUGGUGAUGAACUGGAACCACUUGUGCCUCCAGCUUGAUCAUGUACAGGACCUCCCUCCCCUCCCCCACCUCCUCCAGCACCUGACCCAGGACUUGGAGAAGCUGAA
rnacentral:lncRNA from 1 species